AACCCCUCGCAUUCAGUUGCCCAUCGGGGUGAGGCCGGGCCGACUACUGGAAAGGACUGCCAUCGACAAGAUGGAGGAAGGUGGGGACGACGUCAAGUCAUCAUGGCCCUUAUGUCCAGGGCGACACACGUGCUACAAUGGCCGGCACAACGGGAAGCGAGUUCGCGAGGACGAGCGGAUCCCUUAAAGCCGGUCGCAGUUCGGAUUGAAGUCUGCAACUCGACUUCAUGAAGCUGGAAUCGCUAGUAAUCGCAGAUCAGCCAAGCUGCGGUGAAUACGUUCCCGGGCCUU
rnacentral:rRNA from 1 species